rnacentral:rRNA from 1 species
AUUGAACGCUGGCGGCAGGCUUAACACAUGCAAGUCGAGCGGGGUGAUGGUGCUCGCACUAUCACUUAGCGGCGGACGGGUGAGUAAUGCUUAGGAAUCUGCCUAUUAGUGGGGGACAACAUCUCGAAAGGGAUGCUAAUACCGCAUACGUCCUACGGGAGAAAGCAGGGGAUCACUUGUGACCUUGCGCUAAUAGAUGAGCCUAAGUCGGGUUAGCUAGUUGGUGGGGUAAAGGCCUACCAAGGCGACGAUCUGUAGCGGGCCUGAGAGGGUGCACCGCCACACUGGGACUUGGACACGGCCCAGACUCCUACGGGAGGCAGCAGUGGGGAAUAUUGGACAAUUGGGGGAACCCUGAUCCAGCCAUGCCGCGUGUGUGAAGAAGGCCUUAUGGUUGUAAAGCACUUUAAGCGAGGAGGAGGCUCUUUUGGUUAAUACCCAAGAUGAGUGGACGUUACUCGCAGAAUAAGCACCGGCUAACUCUGUGCCAGCAGCCGCCGUAAUAC